UCAAUAUUCAGUUAUUGCAUAAUGGGUAAUAUUACUAGCUUUAACUACAUAUACACACAGUACAGAUGUACAUAUGUUCCUUUACUUCCACAGGAUCGUACGUGUGUCUUUGAUGAUUGCGACGAGGGUUCAAGAAGUUCUGGCAGUUUUCGCAGUCAGAUUGGCAGCCAUGUUCUUGUCGAAGGGAGCAGAUGUUUCUUGCAGUCAGAUUGGCAGCCAUGUUCUUGUCGAAGGGAGCAGAUGUUUCUUGCAGUCAGAUUGGCAGCCAUGUUCUUGUCAAAGGGGGCGGACGUUUCUCGCAGACGACGAGGGACAUUGACUGUUACAUCACGUUACACGGGGGCGGAAGCUCCACAACGCCGUGCACUACAGACCCGUUCCGGAUACCGUAAUCAGAAAACGUUUUCAUAUCCUCCAGCUGAAUAGAUCCAAAAAUCAAACGUAUUGACUCCGGGUCCAAACCUAAAAGAUGAAUAAAAAAGGUGUUGCAGAUCAUC